rnacentral:rRNA from 1 species
UACAGAGGUCUCGAGCGUUGUUCGGAUUCAUUGGGCGUAAAGGGUGCGUAGGUGGCGGGGUAAGUCAGGUGUGAAAUCCCGGGGCUCAACCCCGGAACUGCAUUUGAUACUGCCUUGCUCGAGUACUGGAGAGGAGACUGGAAUUUACGGUGUAGCAGUGAAAUGCGUAGAUAUCGUAAGGAAGACCAGUGGCGAAGGCGAGUCUCUGGACAGUUACUGACACUGAGGCACGAAGGCCAGGGGAGCAAACAGG